UACAGAGGGGGCUAGCGUUGUUCGGAAUUACUGGGCGUAAAGGGCGCGUAGGUGGCCUGUUAAGUCGAACGUGAAAUCCCCGGGCUCAACCCGGGAACUGUGUCCGAGACUGGCAGGCUCGAAUCCGGGAGAGGGAUGUGGAAUUCCAGGUGUAGCGGUGAAAUGCGUAGAUAUCUGGAGGAACACCGGUGGCGAAGGCGGCAUCCUGGACCGGUAUUGACGCUGAGGCGCGAAAGCCAGGGGAGCAAACGGG
rnacentral:rRNA from 1 species